AAUAAACGCUGGCGGCGUGCCUAACACAUGCAAGUCGAGCGAGAAAGCUCCUUCGGGAGUUAGUAAAGCGGCGAACGGGUGAGCAACACGUGAGAAUCUACCCUUUAGUGAAGAAUACCCUCGAGAAAUCGAGGCUAAUACUGCAUACGUCCCUUCGGGGAGAAAGAUGGCCUCUUUGCUAUCGCUAAAGGAUGAGCUUGCGUACUAUUAGCUAGUUGGCGGGGUAAAGGCCCACCAAGGCAAUGAUGGUUAACCGGCCUGAGAGGGUGUACGGUCACACUGGAACUUAGACACGGUCCAGACUCCUACGGGAGGCAGCAGUGAGGAAUCUUGCGCAAUGGGCGAAAGCCUGACGCAGCGACGCCGCGUGGAGGAUGACGGUUUUCGGAUUGUAAACUCCUGUUAAGCGGGAAGAAAGCCUUGUUUCUAAUACAAGCAAGGUAUGACGGUACCGCUAGAGAAAGCACCGGCUAACUUCGUGCCAGCAGCCGCGGUAAAGUGACGCU
rnacentral:rRNA from 1 species